UCUUUGGUGUCUGAGGAUUCAGAUCAGAGUCUAGUAGAAUAAACAGCUAGAUAAGUAAGUAAAUGAACAUUAUUAUGAGGAACUGACAUGGAAAGAUGAGCACCAUGUUACAGAAGCUCUGUAAGCUACACAACACUACCAUCAUUUGCUGACAACUAUUACCAUCUAUCAAGAUUACAUGUCCUUGAAAAUUAAAGUGAUCAUAUUAACCUAAUUAUUACUCUAAUCUAUGCUAAAUUUUGGUAUGACACAGAUGUACUACUUGACUUUGCCUUCAUUAUGCUUCCCAGCUUGAUCUUGCCCCUC